ensembl:rRNA 5S_rRNA 5S ribosomal RNA
CCACAGCCAUAUCACCAUGCAGCCCAAGACUGGUUUCUCACUAAAGCUAAUCAGGGCUGAGCCUUGUCAGUACUUGGAUGGGAGACCACAUGGGAAAAUAUUGAUGGUCUUUGGA